rnacentral:rRNA from 1 species
GACGAACGCUGGCGGCGUGCUUAACACAUGCAAGUCGAACGGAAAGGCCCUGCUUUUGUGGGGUGCUCGAGUGGCGAACGGGUGAGUAACACGUGAGUAACCUGCCCUUGACUUUGGGAUAACUUCAGGAAACUGGGGCUAAUACCGGAUAGGAGCUCCUGCUGCAUGGUGGGGGUUGGAAAGUUUCGGCGGUUGGGGAUAGACUCGCGGCUUAUCAGCUUGUUGGUGGGGUAGUGGCUUACCAAGGCUUUGACGGGUAGCCGGCCUGAGAGGGUGACCGGCCACAUUGGGGCUGAGAUACGGCCCAGACUCCUACGGGAGGCAGCAGUGGGGAAUAUUGCACAAUGGGCGGAAGCCUGAUGCAGCAACGCCGCGUGCGGGAUGACGGCCUUCGGGUUGUAAACCGCUUUCGCCUGUGACGAAGCGUGAGUGACGGUAAUGGGUAAAGAAGCACCGGCUAACUACGUG